GUACGCUGGCGGCACGCCUAACACAUGCAAGUCGAACGAAGUAGCAAUACUUAGUGGCAGACGGGUGAGUAACAUGUAGGUAUCUACCCUUUGGCCUGGAAUAACACGAGGAAACUUGUGCUAAUACCGGAUAAGUCUUUACGGAGAAAGCUUUAUGCACCAUUGGAUGAGCCUGCACUUGAUUAGUUUGUUGGUAGGGUAACGGCCUACCAAGACUUUGAUCAAUAGCUGAUUUGAGAGGAUGAUCAGCCACAUUGGGACUGAGACACGGCCCAAACUCCUACGGGAGGCAGCAGUGGGGAAUCUUGCACAAUGGAGGAAACUCUGAUGCAGCGAUGCCGCGUGAGUGAAGAAGGCCCUUGGGUUGUAAAGCUCUUUCGUCGGGGAAGAAAAUGACUGUACCCGAAUAAGAAG
rnacentral:rRNA from 1 species